GUAAUUUGUAGCGCAGCGUUUACACAUUCUGUGAUUCUUGUUAUAAUUAAUUAAAAUGGGUAACGCUGAAGCGAAGAUUGAAACGAAGCCGGAGGAGAAAAAGAAAUUGAAACCUUGCUGUGCUUGUCCUGAAACGAAGAAAGCGAGGGAUACAUGCAUCAUAGAAAAGGGCGAGGAAAAUUGCGGCGAUCUCAUAGAAGCGCAUAAAACUUGUAUGAGAUCAAUGGGAUUUAAUAUUUAAAACAAACAGGAUUGAUGAAUAUCUCAUUACCAGAGAUAUCUUUGCAGCAAAGAACGUAAAGUUUUCUUAUAAAGAAAAUGCUCAGGUCACAGACAUAUUUACUAUGUAUGUCUUUGUAAAUAAUUAUCUUUUUAGAUUUUUUAGAAAAUAAAAAUAAGUGUUGCAUCUAUGAAGCUAAAUGAGUUUCUUAUAGGGAUAGUAACAAAUUAAUUUAAUAGUUUUUUGACAUUGUGAUCAAGCUUCAAAGAAGUAUGAAGCAGAUUGUACCAAUGAUUUAUAAGAAAUAAAAAAAUAAGCAUUCUUCCAAAA